GACGAACGCUGGCGGCGUGCUUAACACAUGCGAGUCGAACGAUGAAGCUGGAGCUUGCUCCGGUGGAUUAGUGGCGAACGGGUGAGUAACACGUGAGUAAUCUGCCCUUGACUCUGGGAUAACUGCGGGAAACUGUAGCUAAUACCGGAUACGACACCUUCGGGCAUCCGAUGGGUGUGGAAAGAAUUUCGGUCAAGGAUGAACUCGCGGCCUAUCAGCUAGUUGGUGAGGUAAUGGCUCACCAAGGCGACGACGGGUAGCCGGCCUGGGAGGGUGACCGGCCACACAGGGAAUUAGACAUGACCCAGACUCCUACGGGAGGCAGCAGUGGGGAAUAUUGCACAAUGGGCGAAAGCCUGAUGCAGCAACGCCGCGUGAGGGAUGAAGGCCUUCGGGUUGUAAACCUCUUUUAGUUGGGAAGAAGCGAAAGUGACGGUACCAACAGAAAAAGCACCGGCUAACUACGUGCCAGCCGCCGCGGUAA
rnacentral:rRNA from 1 species